rnacentral:rRNA from 1 species
AUGAGUGGGGCCGCCGGGGUGGAGAAAGGGGGGAAAAGAGAGGAUGCUGCCUGUUUUGUUAGUUCAAGCGCAUGGUGCCUUGGGCUGGGGCUUCGUGCUACUGAGCAUGGCGUCCUGGCCCGGGGCGUCAGGCCCACGCCCUGCCAGCGUGGCAAACGAGCGCUGACUAGCAUGACGCCUUUGUUUAGGGUGCCCUUGUCUUUUCCUAUAGGAUCUGACGGCGAGGAUGGCUCCCCCCGCAAGCGGAAGCAGCCGCGCCCUCCCCAGCUGAAGCGUCCGUCCCAGCAGUUUGCUGCGGCAGCGGCCCUCUCUGCCGCCGCCGCCGCCGCGAUGAUGGGCAAGCAGCGCCCCUCCUCCUUGUUUAAGAAGCCGGGCAGCGACCGCACCAAGGGCUCGUCGCUGGCCGCCGACAGCAUCGUGGACGACGUCAUCGCCGAGUUUGCCCCCGACGAGAACGACCGAGAGGAGCGUCGUCGUCGUGUUGGUAGGAUCUCUGCCCCGACACCGUUGCCUGUUCCAGUUCCCCAAAUUAAGGCAAUCCAGGCAGCCUUACAUGCUGAAAUGGAGGUUAGAUCGGAUGGUGCGUUCGAGGCUGAUGGGGUUUCAGACCAUGGAAGCGAUAUGGAGGUAGAAUUGCAGCCAGAGCUGGAACUGAAGCCUGAUGUGGAAAUGCAACCCAAACUAGAAGCAGCUCCAGGUUCUAGUGCGGAAUUGGUGGAUGAGAAUAAGAGCUCGGAGGAACUGAAGCAGGAGGCUAAUGGGGAAGUGAAAAUAGAGAAGGUGCGCCGGUUAAACGCUAAGAUUAAGGCAGAGGGCACCAGAAAUGGUGAUAUGUUGAGUGCAACAGCAUGUUGGAUGAAGAUAUGUGGGGAUGGGGAGAAUGCAGGAGGCAAGGGAGAAGUGACUGUUCAUGAUGUCGUCGAUGUGGAUGAAAGCUCGGAGUUUGAGCUGAAGGAUGGAGCCCUGCCGUUCUAUUUGCUGGAUGCAUAUGAGGAGCCCUUUGGUAUCAAUUCAGGCACAGUCUAUUUGUUUGGGAAGCUAUUACAUGUUUGCAGCUCUAAGGAGUUGUCAUCUGGACUAAAGAGUGAAAUAGCUGACAAGUUGUCUGACCUCAAUGUUUCAAAUUUUGUGAUGACUCCAGUCAAGAGGAACUAUGCAUUUGAGAGGACCGAUGUACCAAUCGGUGAGCAGUAUGUCCUGAAAGUCAAUUACCCAUACAAGGAUCCUGCGGUACCAGCUGACCUUAGAGGUAAAUAUUUCCAUGCGUUACUUGGGACAAACAAUAGUGCACUUGAACUGUUUCUCAUCAAAAGGAAGAUCAAGGGUCCUUCAUGGUUAUCGAUUUCUAAAUUUGUGGCAUGUCCAUCUACUGAGCGGGUCAGCUGGUGUAAAUUUGAAGUUACAGUCGAAUGCCCAAAAGACAUUUCUGUUUUGGUGACAAGUACCACACUGGAAGUCCCCCCAGUUGUAGUUGCGGCUGUUAAUCUUAAAACUAUCAUAAAUGAGAAACACAACGUGCAUGAGAUUGUGUCAGCAUCGGUCAUAUGCUGUCACCAAGUAAAAAUUGAUACUCCAAUGCGUUCUGAAGAUUGGCAGAAACGGGGAACGAUCAGCCAUUUUACUGUUAUGCGCAAGCUUGAAGGAAGCAUAUUUCCUAUAGGCCUCACCAAAGAAGCUUCUGAUAGGAACCAGAAGGCUGGUAGCAACGUGCUGGCACUAGAGAGCAGUGAACGUGCUUUGUUAAAUCGCUUGAUGAUUGAGCUUGGUAAACUUGAUUGUGAUGUACUUGUGGGGCACAACAUUUCGGGAUUCGACCUGGAUGUCCUUCUGCACCGUGCUCAGACCUGCAAAGUACCAAGCAGCAUGUGGUCCAAAAUUGGCCGCCUUAGAAGAUCAGUAAUUCCCAGGCUUACCAAAGGAAACACACUAUAUGGUUCUGGGGCAAGUCCAGGAAUUAUGUCCUGCAUUGCUGGCCGUCUCCUCUGUGACACCUACUUAUGCUCUCGUGAUCUUCUGCGGGAGGUUGAGUACGGUGAGACUGACGCAUGUCUUUCUUUGGAGCUUAUGUUCCACUUGAGUGUUCUCCCGCUUACACGCCAACUGACAAAUAUUAGUGGUAAUCUGUGGGGGAAAACUCUCCAGGGUGCUAGAGCUCAGAGGGUAGAAUAUCUACUGUUGCAUUCAUUCCAUUCAAAAAAAUUCAUUGUACCAGAUAAGUUUGCUGCAUGCAAGGAGCUGAACUCUGCAAAACGAAAACUUAAUGCUGAUACGGGAGGUGGAAACGCUGUUGAUCCUUCCAUUGAUGAUGAGGUGCAUCAUGGUGAUCCAGAUUCGGAAUUCAAUAUCUGCUUCACCACUGUUGAGCGUUCUUCUGAUGGCAAUCUCCCUAACCUUCCAACUUCAAAGGCUACUGGUGUUUUGCCUGAGUUGUUGAAGAGUUUGGUGGAGAGGAGAAGAAUGGUUAAAUCCUGGCUCAAAACCGCCUCUGGUCUCAAAAGGCAGCAGUUUGAUAUUCAGCAGCAAGCUUUGAAGCUCACCGCAAACAGUAUGUACGGUUGCUUGGGCUUUACUAGUUCUAGGUUUUUUGCAAAGCCACUUGCCGAGCUUAUUACCCUGCAAGGUAGAGAGAUCUUACAAAACACUGUUAAUCUGGUUCAGAAUAAUUUAAACUUGGAGGUUAUUUAUGGUGACACGGACUCCAUAAUGAUAUAUACUGGACUGGAUGACAUCUCCAAGGCAAAAUCAAUUGCUGGAAAGGUCAUUCAGGAGGUGAACAAGAAGUACCGUUGUCUGGAGAUUGAUCUUGAUGGUGUAUACAAAAGAAUGUUGCUUCUCAAAAAGAAGAAAUAUGCUGCCAUUAAAGUGGCACUAGAUGGUAGUUUACGAGAGAACAUUGAGCGCAAGGGACUUGAUAUGGUCAGGCGUGAUUGGAGUUUGCUGUCAAAAGAAAUUGGUGAUUUUUGCCUGAAUCAAAUUUUGUCUGGAGGGACAUGUGAUGAUGUUGUUGAGUCAAUACAUAAUUCUCUCGUCCAGGUCCAAGCACAGAUGAAAAGUGGUCAAAUAGAGCUUGAAAAAUAUAUCAUCACAAAGAGUCUAACGAAAGCACCAGAAGAUUAUCCAGAUGCUAAAAACCAGCCUCAUGUCCAGGUUGCUUUAAGACUGAAGCAAAAUGGUUUCUCUGGAUGCUCUGCAGGUGAUACCGUUCCUUAUAUUAUUUGCUCACAACAGGAUUCAGAUAAAACACAUUCUGGGGGAAUUGCUCAAAGAGCUAGGCAUCCGGAUGAGUUAACACGAGACCCCAACAAGUGGAUGAUUGACAUCGAGUAUUAUUUGUCACAGCAGAUUCAUCCUGUGGUUUCUCGACUGUGUGCUUCAAUUGAGGGUACUAGCCCAGCCCGACUGGCUGAAUGUCUUGGACUUGAUUCCUCCAAGUUUCAAUCAAGAUCGACCGGGUCUAGCAACGAAGAUAUGUCUAGCAUGCUCUUAUCUGUAACUGAUGAUGAAGAAGAGAGAUAUCGUGGCUGUGAGCCGAUGCGCCUAUCAUGCCCAUGCUGUACCAGUACCUUCGAGUGUCCCCCUGUAUCCAGUCUGAUUGCUAGUUUAUCAGAUGCAAAUGAAGGAAAAGAUGCUAUUGUGAAUUUCUGGCGUCGGAUGCGAUGCCCAAGAUGUCCAGAUGAUACUGAUGAGUGCAGAGUUUCUCCUGCUGUGAUUGCCAACCAGAUAAAAAGACAGUUUCAUAUUCUUUUGCCCUUGGGUCCCUGUCUACAUGUGACGGAAACUGGAAACCAAGUGAUGACCUUGGCCACUAGCCGCUGGCUGGUUUCCUGGCCUGCAAAGGAUGGAGUUGCCCACAUCAUGUUGCUUUCAAAUACAAAUGUUAUAACUAGUUGUUUCAGAGACCCUCCUCGUCUCAUAUGUAACAAGGUUUAUGUAUCAGAAACUAAAAGAAAACAAGAUAUACAACCAUACAUUAGGGUCAGUCCUGUGAACUGCAGUCUGUGGCAGUGUGAACCACAUGAACUAGCUUGGCAUAUGCCAGAUGCUACACUCUACUAA